UACGGGAGGCAGCAGUGGGGAAUAUUGGACAAUGGGCGAAAGCCUGAUCCAGCCAUGCCGCAUGAGUGAAGAAGGCCUUCGGGUUGUAAAGCUCUUUUAGUGAGAAAGAUAAUGACGGUACUCACAGAAGAAGCACCGGCUAACUCCGUGCCAGCAGCCGCGGUAAUACGGAGGGUGCGAGCGUUAAUCGGAAUUACUGGGCGUAAAGGGCACGCAGGCGGUUAAUUAAGUUGGAUGUGAAAUCCCCGGGCUUAACCUGGGAAUGGCAUUCAAGACUGGUUAGCUAGAGUCUUGUAGAGGGGGGUUAGAAUUCCAUGUGUAGCGGUGAAAUGCGUAGAGAUGUGGAGGAAUACCGGUGGCGAAGGCGGCCCCUGGACAAAGACUGACGCUCAUGUGCGAAAGCGUGGGGAGCAAACAGGGAUUAGAUACC
rnacentral:rRNA from 1 species